GCCCCCGGGAGCGCCCUUCCACGGGGAUCCCGUGAUGGCGAGGGCUGCCCGGGGGCGGGGGUUGCCCGUGUGCGGCAGCUCUGCGGCCUGUGAGCUGUUCCUCUGUGCCUCGGCCUCCGGCGUGGGAGCGGCAGCCUGGGGAGCCGAGUCUGGCAGCAAGUGAAGUUCAACAUGAGUUUGUUACUGGCUUUGGGAAUCUUCAGUCUGGACUCUGCCACGCUGUUGCCUUGCAAGCAGAAAGAUGUCACGUGAAUUCUAGAGCUACAGAAGUAAAUAUUUCGUACUGUACUUAAAGGUGACAUCAGAUGACCAUCUCCACUGUUUCCCAACCUUGUGUAUGCACUCAGAGCCAACAGUAGAGUCCACUGCUAGUCUUCUCAUUUUUGCUUGAGAGAUCAUGGGAGAGACUGUGGAGAGCUUGAAAAGAGCAGCCUGGAAUGUGGAGUUCUAAUGCACUUGGAAAUGCUUCCAUGGCCCUUCCUGCUUCUCAGAAAUACCGCUUGAUUCAAUAAUAUUGCAGAGAAGUACCUGUUUGCUGAAUAUGUCUGAAUAAUCCUGGAAUGAAGUUCAGCUUCUCCAAGAAGGGAAAUCUAUCCUUUAACCUGACCAGUGUUAGAGGAGCAAUACCUCAAAUAAACCAGCAUGAAGGACAGACUUGGUGCUGGCCUGUGGCCUAAUUAUGUAGAGCGCUGAGGCUCAGCAGGGAAGCCAAUUGACAGACUUUUCCAAUACCAACUUCAACAGUGGAAACUCUGGAUUUUGAUUUGAAAUGACCUAUUACUGCAAUCAAUUGAUACAAACGUUUUUCAAACUAACAAACAUGAAUAACCUAAAGACUGAGUUGCAUUAUUUACCGUGUUUUAGGGUAAGAGAUGACUCAAGUAACAAGAUGGCAAUCAAAGCAUCUUCCUGAAGUACUGUGUGUCUUAAACUUAGCUUGGUAUGAGCCUUAGACAGUGAAAUCCUAAGAGAUCAAUAUAAGCAUGUCAGAAAUAAAAAAUACUGCAGAAGUGAAUGCAAUGUGUAUUGCCCUGUUUCAAGCACUUGUGUAAAUCAAAAGUUAACACUGAAGUGUUUUCAUACUUCAGCUGUGCAGUUAUACUUGCCACUGACAAUAUACACAUUAUGCUAUGAAAGCAGUAGAAGUUGGCAUAUUAUCUAUUGUUAAUACUUGUUUUGCUCCCAUAAUAAAGCUGUGGAUAUUUAAAUCCCAUUUUUGUUUUUCUAGAUAGCUUCAAUAAUAAUACUUGUUUUGUAAAUCACUGUUGUAUUUUUUGCUUGGAAAAGUUCUUUGAACUUGGAUUUCUUUUGGCAUUCAUAAGCGAUAAAUAAGAUCCUUUAUGCU